UGGUGGGAAGGUCCCUCAACAUGACAAGAAUGUCUGGGGACAUAAAAGUGAAAUAGGAUAAAAAGCUUUAGAGCUUGAUAAAUUGUGUGGGAUCAAUCCGAAACUUAACCUAAUUUUCUCAAUUCCAAGCCUUCAAAUCCCAGGAAACCAUAUCAAGGUCCUCUUAGAGAAAGGUUCUCUAGUUGAACAAUUCCAGAAGAAGGUGGACCAAGUUUGAAGGCCGAUUAAACAAAUUUAGACUGGAUUGGGCAGGGGCCGCGCGAACGCAGGCCCCCUCUUUCACAAAUUAUGACAUAGGCUCUACCACUUGGGUAGACCUUAGGCUAGCACCCUUCCAAAGUGCAAUGGAAGUCACAAGCCUAGGCCAUGGGCCUUCUUGAUCACCCAUUGACCCCGUCCAGGUAAGUAUGUUACAAUUGUAGUACUCCUUUCUUUUUAUACACAAUUUACUCCUUUCCCUCUUCUUAUGCACCUGAUGUGGGACUUCACUGCAACAUCUUCCCAUGUUCUUACUCAACUCUGCACUGCCUCGCCCAUCAAAAACCCACUUCAACUUCUUAUUUAGGAUCUCAGUAACCAACACUCACAACUCCAAAGUCUAAAUUGAUUCAGGUAAUCAAAAUAAGGCUGGGGUACAUUCCCAUACACAUAAAAGAAGAACAUGUAAAAGACUUGUUUCAUGAAUGAACAACAACCUUUAUAGUAGUGUCUAAAUUUUGCAGUGUUGAUCGACCAUCUUGCAGUACAUUCACCUUUCCUUUAGUCAAAAGAAGCACCAAGGAACAAGUAUUUCUGCACAAGGGAGACAGCACCAAAGUGUACAUUGCUCUCUAAUCUUCUUACGGGAUAAUUAGUUCUCUUCACUUCCUUACUAUCAACUACUACUAUAUAUAUUGUGUGUUUUGUAUCCUACUGAUAUUAGGCACACAAUUAUCUAUGUAUUUGGAGCUUAUUCAUUCUACACACUCCCCUAAUGUUCAUUCGGACACAUGUUUAUUAUGUAGACAACUAUGUAGACUCCAUCCACUGUACUGUUACUACCCAAUUGAAGUUGAACUCUGAUAACCCACCAA
rnacentral:lncRNA from 1 species